rnacentral:rRNA from 1 species
GACGAACCGUGCGAACGUUGUUCGGAAUCACUGGGCUUAAAGGGCGCGUAGGCGGGUCGGCAAGUCCGGGGUGAAAGCCCCCAGCUCAACUGGGGAAGGGCCUUGGAAACUGCCGGUCUCGAGGGAGGUAGGGGCCUGUGGAACUUCGGGUGGAGCGGUGAAAUGCGUUGAUAUCCGAAGGAACGCCGGUGGCGAAAGCGACGGGCUGGAUCUCUUCUGACGCUGAGGCGCGAAAGCUAGGGUAGCGAACGGG